AACGAACGCUGGCGGCAUGCCUAACACAUGCAAGUCGAACGAGACCCUCGGGUGUAGUGGCGCACGGGAGCGUAACGCGAGGGAACCUGCACACAGGAUCGGACUAACCCCCCGAAAGGGGUACUAAUACGGGACAACGUCUUCUGACCAAAGCGUCACCGCCUUUGGCUGGGCCCGCGUUGGAUUAGCUAGUUGGUAGGGUAAAAGCGUGCCCAGGCGACGAUCCAUAGCUGGUCUGAGAGGAUGAUCAGCCACACUGGGACUGCGACACGGCCCAGACUCCUACGGGAGGCAGCAGUGGGGAAUAUUGGACAAUGGGCGAAAGCCUGAUCCAGCAAUGCCGCGUGAGUGAUGAAGGCCUUAGGGUUGUAAAGCUCUUUUACCCGGGAUGAUAAUGACAGUACCGGGAGAAUAAGCUCCGGCUAACUCCGUG
rnacentral:rRNA from 1 species